rnacentral:siRNA from 1 species
UCGUUCCAACUAAUCUACCGA